rnacentral:rRNA from 1 species
UACGUAGGGGGCAAGCGUUAUCCGGAAUUAUUGGGCGUAAAGCGCACGCAGGCGGUCCGCCAAGUUUGGAGUGACAGUUGAUGGCUCAACCAUCAAAGUACUUCAAAAACUGGCAGACUUGAGAGCGAGAGAGGAACAUGGAACUCCAGGUGUAGUAGUGAAAUGCGCAGAUAUCAGGAGGAACACCGGUGGCGAAGGCGGUGGUCUGGGCCGGCACUGACGCUGAGGAGCGAAAGCGUGGGGAGCAAACAGG